rnacentral:rRNA from 1 species
AUAGGGUGCUUGCUUUCCUUCAUCACAGAAUCGACCCAGUUAUCAUCAUAAGCAUUCUCGAGGACGACAAGGGGGCAUGCCAUGUCCCAUCCGCCGCAAUCACAACCUCCACCAUACCUCCAUCUUUCUAGCAAGGAUGAGGGGCUGACUUCAUUGUCGUCUGGUAAACCAUGCAGCCCACUCGGGGUGACCACUUUGAUAGUACCAGCGGACGAACACUUCUUGUCCUUAUUGAAUGGAAUCUGA